CAACCCCUCAAGCUCGGCUUGUGUGUUGGGCCAUCGUCCCACCCAGUGGACGGGCCUGCAAUGCAGUGGCAGCACCGCACCGGUGUCCGAGUGUAUGGGCAUCCGUCACCGCUCAAUAGACCCGAUCGGCGCUUGCCGUGAUCAAUCACAAUCAUCCAU
rnacentral:misc_RNA from 1 species